rnacentral:rRNA from 1 species
AGUUUCCGGCCGCGGUAGCCUAACCGUGCGAAGGUAGCAUAAUCACUUGUUUCUUAAAUAGAGACUAGUAUCAACGGCAUCACGAAGACUAUACUGUCUCCCCCCUAAAAUCAAUGAAACUGAUCUCCUCGUGAAGAAGCGAGGAUAUACAUAUAAGACGAGAAGACCCCAUGGAGCUUUAAACGAACUUCAAUUGUUCCCACCCAUAACAUACAAAUUGAACACCCCUGAUAGAUAGUUUUAGGUUGGGGUGACCGCGGAGUAAAACAAAACCUCCACAGUGAAUGUAAUAAAAUUCUUAUAAAAGAACUACAAUUCUAAUAAUCAAAAAUUUGACAUAAAUUGACCCAAACACUUGAUCAAUGAACCAAGUUACCCUGGGGAUAACAGCGCAAUCCAUUUUAAGAGCCCAUAUCGACAAAUGGGUUUACGACCUCGAUGUUG